GAUGAGGGUGAGCUGCUGGGCACAUCCUCUUAGCACAUUGCCAGGUAAUCCAUCUGGACCGGCAGCCUUCCUGGGGUUCACUGCUAGGAACACACAUCUGACAUCGUGCUCCGUUACAGUGAAUGGAGCGGUGCAGGAACCAGCUACAUUCACCCUGGAGAGAAACUAGAGAUGCAUUUCAUGAACACUGUGAUGAGACCUUUGCUUUGUGUAAUGUUAUAAAUACUCGGAUACUCCCCAGAGGCUCCGGACUUUUACAUAAAGAUAUUAUAUUCAGUCCUGUAGAAAGUUAUAUAUUUAAAAAGAUAUGAUCCUCUCUGGUUACUCUGGUAUGAAUAACUCUGCAUCACUUUAUGGUAAAUAACACACUAUCUGCAAAAAACUGUGAAAACUGUGACCUUUGACCUUCAUCAGGUUUUAUUUAAUUGUGUUAGAGAAACUCAAACACGCUCUUCAUGCAGCUGAGUACAUCAAGUGUUUAAAACGGAAGCUGUGCAGGUCUGAGAUACAAACUGAGGUCCUGUUAAUGCUGAUGUAUAGUGACACAGUUACAGGGGUGAUUAAUCCUUUUGUUUUUUUGUCCUUAACUUUAUCAAUAAAACAGCUGCAGCUUU
ensembl:lncRNA